UACGUAGGGCGCAAGCGUUGUCCGGAAUUAUUGGGCGUAAAGAGCUCGUAGGUGGCUUGUUGCGUCUGCCGUGAAAGCCCGUGGCUUAACUACGGGUCUGCGGUGGAUACGGGCAGGCUAGAGGCUGGUAGGGGCAAGCGGAAUUCCUGGUGUAGCGGUGAAAUGCGCAGAUAUCUGGAGGAACACCGGUGGCGAAGGCGGCAUCCUGGACCGACACUGACGCUGAGGAGCGAAAGCCAGGGGAGCGAACAGG
rnacentral:rRNA from 1 species